UGUUGUGUAUACUGCCCUGAAACCAACAAUGAUGUGUGAAAACAAUUAAAAAACCUAACCUAACCUAACCUAACCUGUAUGCUGCUUGUGUAUUCUUUCUACCUGUACUGAUACUGUGCUGAGGUUGUGUGAGAGAUUAAGGAAGUGGGCUUGGCUUUACAUCUGCUUCUUUUUUGCGUAACUCUCAGAGUGAAAAACCGCAGGCGCAGCGAGCCGCUUUCUGUUGUCCAUAAGUCGGAAACUUUUUUAAUAUUGCCUUUUCAGAGUCAAUUUUUACUCUUGAAGUUUUUGUUCGACUACAGGACGAUACGUCGCACCAAAUAAAGAUCAUGGACAAACUGGAGUCAGCGCAGCACAACCUCUGUAUGUGGCUUUCAAGUGACCCAGAUUACAUCCUUGAAAAGUGUGGGGAUAUUUUAUCUAUGAAUGAGUUCCGUGAGGUACAAAGGCAAAGCAGUGCAUUAGAUAAGAUGAAAGUACUUUUGAAAAUAAUAAUGCAAAAGGGAGGAGAUACCCCUCAGUACUUCUUGGACAUUCUGAAGCAACAUCAGUCACAUUACCAGCAUGUGCCGCAGCUCUUUAACCCUAACACUGAAAGCUCACCCACACCAACAGUGUUUGCUGAUGGAAGCAGUGUUGUUACUGCCAGAACCAUGAAAAACAUUAAAGCAAAAAAUAUCAACAUAAGGGUUGAAACAGUGAGCAAUGCAGGAAGCCGUCCAACUGCAACUACUGUUGGACAGGUUCCUGGAGCAGAUUAUACAGCCUGUGAUAGCAGUAUCAUUUGCGGUGACACAAUGACUGAUAUCGAGGUUGACGGUGAAUUAAAUUUAUCAGCCUCUGUGACACCAUCACAAUUUCAGCUAAUCCCAACACUGCUUUUCUCUCAGAAACAGUAGAUGAGACACUGCCAUCCUCUCAGGGCCCUGCUGUGAAAACCAUCACUGAGCACAAGUUGGAACUCAUUGACUGCCUGAGGGCCGAUCAUUCCUUCAUUCUGCAGCAUGUGCACGCCAAACAAAUCGUCACGGACAGACAGUAUCAGAAUUUGAAGCAUAUCUUACAGCCAGAAGAAACUGUUACUAACCUUAUCGAUAAAUUGAUCGUAAAUGGUCAAAAUUCCUGCUCUCUAUUCCUUGAAGUUCUCAAAGAGCCUGAUAUUCUCAAGACCUAUCCACAGCUCAGAGAAAUUACAAAAAAAAUGUGCUAAGCAACAGUUGAAGUACAGUGUAUGAACUAGUAAUGGUAAUGCAUUGAAAAAGACAACUGUAGGCUAAAUUUGGAAAAUCUGGCUUUGAAUAUAUUGUGGAUAAAGUAUGUGAGUGAUGUGGUUUUAUGUUGUAUGUGUUCUUUAUUUUGUACUUUGGUAAUGCUAUCUUUUGAAAAUAGAUCUGAUUAAGCAGCAGUAAAAUGACAGGGAUUGUUGAUGGGAUUCUCUCACAUGAACUGGACAAAUGGGCCGCUGCAUGUAAUCUACAGAGCCAGUAGCUAUUUAGCAUUGUAAAGGUUUUGUUUCUUGGAUUUUUUGGGUUUAUUUGCAGUGUACUUACAAUUCAUGCAAUGAACUGACCAUUAGAAUUGAAACUAAACUCUCAAGAGCAUUUAUUUAACAGGCUUUCAAACUCUACAUCUAAUCAUGGGGACAAAAACGUGUCAAUAAUCAGAGGGGGAUGGUGGCUGGGAUGUGACUUCAUAUUUGAGUUUUGAUCUUCCUGGGAGCUACAAAUAUUUUUAGAGCAUAGGUGCAGGACAGCCACACACAAAACCAACAAAUUCAAAAUAUCAGCCAAUCAGUCCCUAAGCAUAGGUUUUAACCAGCUCUAUAAGAAACAUGUUCUCCCACAUUGAUCAGAGAGUUUAUGCAUGCUAUUACCCAAAUCUGUCUAUGUGAUCCUGUCAGCUCUUAAAGCUAUGCAUCAUUGUAUCUCUUUGUCUGUCUCAAGUAAUAAAGUAUCAAAUAUCAGGAGAAA